rnacentral:rRNA from 1 species
UACGGGUGGCGCAAGUGUUAUUCCUCAUGACUGGGCGUAAAGGGUGCGUAGAUGGAUAAAUAAAUUUAAAGUAAAUACAACAUAACUUUUUUCGCUAUUUAUCUAGAGUGAUUUAGACGAUAAUGGAACUUCCUGCAUUAGAGUUAAAAUGCGUUUUAAAACUGGAAAGAAACACCAAAGGCAAAGGCAGUUAUCGAAUUUUUCACUGACGUUGAGGCACGGAAGGCAUGGGUAUC